rnacentral:rRNA from 1 species
AGUGAAUAGAUACCCCGGUAGUCCCAGCUGUAAACGAUGCGCGUUAGGUGUAUCGGUGACCACGAGUCACCGAGGUGCCGAAAGAGAAAUCGUGAAACGUGCCGCCUGGGAAGUACGGUCGCAAGGCUGAAACUUAAAGGAAUUGGCGGGGGAGCACCACAACAGGUGGAGCCUGCGGUUUAAUCGGACUCAACGCCGGGAAGCUCACCGGAUAAGACAGCUGAAUGAUAGCCGGGUUGAAGACUCUGCUUGACUAGCUGAGAGGAGGUGCAUGGCCGUCGUCAGUUCGUACUGUGAAGCAUCCUGUUAAGUCAGGCAACGAGCGAGACCCACGCCAACAGUUGCCAGCAUGUCCUCCGGGAUGGUGGGGACACUGUUGGGACCGCCUCUGCUAAAGAGGAGGAAGGAAUGGGCAACGGUAGGUCAGCAUGCCCCGAAUUAUCCGGGCUACACGCGGGCUACAAUGGUCAGGACAAUGGGUAUCAACACCGAAAGGUGAAGGCAAUCUCCUAAACCUGUCCUUAGUUCGGAUUGU